rnacentral:rRNA from 1 species
CCUACGGGGGGCAGCAGUGGGGAAUAUUGGACAAUGGGGGCAACCCUGAUCCAGCCAUGCCGCGUGUGUGAAGAAGGCCCUCGGGUUGUAAAGCACUUUCAGUGAGGAAGAACGCCUGGUGGUUAAUACCCAUCAGGAAAGACAUCACUCACAGAAGAAGCACCGGCUAACUCCGUGCCAGCAGCCGCGGUAAUACGGGGGGUGCGAGCGUUAAUCGGAAUUACUGGGCGUAAAGCGCGCGUAGGUGGCUUGAUAAGCCGGUUGUGAAAGCCCCGGGCUCAACCUGGGAACGGCAUCCGGAACUGUCAAGCUAGAGUGCAGGAGAGGAAGGUAGAAUUCCCGGUGUAGCGGUGAAAUGCGUAGAGAUCGGGAGGAAUACCAGUGGCGAAGGCGGCCUUCUGGACUGACACUGACACUGAGGUGCGAAAGCGUGGGUAGCAAACAGGAUUAGAUACCCUGGUAGUC